UUUUUGGAAAAAAUAAAAAGUCAAAUAGUUAAGGAGGAGAUUAUAAUUUUUCCUUUUAAAGCCUCCUUUUUUAUGAACAAACUUUAGCGCUUUAUUCUGUUUCUAUACCAUGCGGGCGAUUACUGAUUAGAGGAAGCAAAAAAGCAAUGCCACUCUUACUAGCUCCCUACUACCAAAUUCAAACGUUGAUUCCCCACCCAUUUCAAAAUUCAUCUUCUUCUCGCCGGAGGAUCAACACCACCACCUGUCCGAAACAACUGGUUUUCCCUAGGAGUUUUUCUAGAACACCCAUUCAUUUCCGUUCGAUAACACCCACAUCCCAACAGACCCACCACCACUCCCCAAACCCUCAAAGCAAUAAGACCCAAGACGAUGGCAUUCCAUUCGAGGACGUCAAGCUCCUGGUCAAGUUCAAGUCCAGGCACAACUACAUUCGGGUCCUCGAGGUCUCCCGGAAAGCCGACCACCCAUUUGCCGGUUCGAGGCUACUACUUCUCGAUGGCCCUGGAAAUAUCCACAGCAUUUAUUUUCCCUUAAAGCCUUUCACUGACACUUACUUGGACGUUUUCGCUACUUUUCCGCCUAUUUUGCCUCCCGGACCCAUCGGAAUUCUCGGGUUCGGUGCUGGUUCGGCGGCGCGUUUGAUCCUUGAAUUGUAUCCCCAAGUGGUGGUUCAUGGUUGGGAGCUUGACCCUUCUGUGAUUGGCGUUGGGAGAGAGUAUUUUGGCCUUUCGAAGCUUGAGAAACAAUACCCAGAUAGGCUUUUCGUUUACGUUGGAAAUGCGUUGGCGGCUAAUGUAAGAGGAGGGUUCUCGGGGAUUUUGGUUGAUUUGUUUUGCAAUGGUAGUUUGGUUCCUGAGCUUCAGGAUCCAAAGACUUGGGAAAAGCUCAGAAAGUGUUUGAGAAAAGGCGGGAGAGUAAUGGUGAAUGUAGGAGGUAGUUGUGUGGAGGCCGAGGAUUCAAGAAGAAAUGGGAAGGUAGUUAUGGAAGACACUUUGAAGGCAAUGCGGCGGGUUUUCCGCGACAAACUUUUCGUUUUGAGCCUUGGGAACAGGAAGGAAGAUAGCUCUGUUGCUCUCACAGGGGCUUUGCCGGAUCUUGACGUGUGGAAGAAGGUUCUUCCUGGUUCUUUGGUGGGUUAUGUUGAUAUGUGGAUGCCACAUACCAGUUAGUGUGUCGAGAUGAACGUAUUUCCGGCUAAGUUGGUUGCAGUAAUAGCAGUUUAUCUUCUUCUUGGUGUUUCUCUGGCAACUUCUCCACGACUUCCUUAUGGCUGGAAGGCUAGUUCAUUACAACUUUCCCACCUUAUAGAUGGCUCUGGGAAGAUAACUGCAAAAAAACAAAGUAGCUUUGGGUUUGGAAAUCUGGACAUCAGUGACAGAGAUAUAGUUCCCACCCGAAGUCUCCGAUCAACCAGCCGAACAUCACCUCCUGCACCUGUCAAAAGUAAGCCAACAGCGAUGCGCUCUUUUGCCCCACCUCCUUCAGUUGUAUAAACUAUAAUGGUUAUUCUCUGUCUUCUUGUUUUAUGGAUUUCAACCAUUUCCAAGGGGAAGGUCAUGUUUCAACUUGCUGCCCCAUCUUUGUACAAGCUACCUCCAUUUACCUAAUUAUGCAUAUCUGAAUUUCUUAUUUAUGGAAA